rnacentral:rRNA from 1 species
UACGGGGGGAGCAAGCGUUGUUCGGAUUUACUGGGCGUAAAGGGCGCGUAGGCGGUCGUGACAAGUCACUUGUGAAAUCUCCGGGCUUAACUCGGAACGGUCAAGUGAUACUGUCGGACUAGAGUACAGAAGGGGCAACUGGAAUUCUCGGUGUAGCGGUGAAAUGCGUAGAUAUCGAGAGGAACACCUGCGGCGAAGGCGGGUUGCUGGGCUGAUACUGACACUGAGGCACGAAAGCGUGGGGAGCAAACAGG